rnacentral:ncRNA from 1 species
AAAGAAUACUCCGUUCUGAUAUAAAGUUAGCUAUGCCCCUCAAACUUCAUAUGGUAACACAAAUGCUUUGUGAUAAAACCUCAACAGCUAAACGUUAAAAACAUAGCACAGAGGAAAGGCAACUUAACAGAAAACCUUAGAUACACACUAUCCACAACACCAAUGCAUUAUUUUUUCGUGGGUUGGGAAACCAAGCCAAAGGAACGGGCAACAAAAGAUAACCAAGGUGGUGCCAGCAGUUGCGGUUAAACCACCAUCUUAAGUUAACUAACACCAUAACCUGGCAAGCCCUUACGUAAGACUAAAUUAAAAGUUGACAGAGUAAAACCUUAACAACAGCUAAUAACCUAAAAAGCCUUAUAACUACCACCAACCAAACCUUAAAAGAAAACCAGGAUUAGAUACCCUGCUAUUCGAAGGCCCAACGCAACAAAUACUAAGAACGAAAGUUUAAAACUUAAAGAACGUGGCGGUGCCUUACUCCGCAUUAGGGGAUCCUGUGCCUUAAUUUGAUAAUCCACGUAAACCAAAGCUAUAUUAGUAAUCAGCUUGUGUAUGGCCGUCAACGCUCGCUUAACAAAAACCCAAAAGGGAGCCUCAAAAUAAUCACUUAACAAGUCAGGUAACAUACAGCCAAUAUAUAGCAGCCCAUGGGAUACAAAUAAACAUCCUUACCGAACUAGUAAAUCAAAUUUUACUAUAAAGGAGGACUUAAAAGUAAACUUAUAACAAAACUUCAAAUUGAACAAGAUCUAAGGCGCGCACAAAUCGCCCGUCACUCCUGUUACUUAAACGGGAUAAGUCGUAACACAGUAGGGGUAGCGGAAGCUGCCCCUAAUUU